CCCUGUCCAAAGGCUCGCUGAGAAAAACCCAUCGUCUUCCUUCUCCAAUGGCUCGCUGAGAAAAAACCCUUGUCUUCCCUCUUUGUAGGCCACCCCAUCUCUAAAGGGAACUGCUUGCUGCCAAUUAUAGCUCAUUCCUACACCUGCUCGAGCUUCCAAUAACGCAUCAAACUUGCCCAUGCCAUCCAAGUAAACCAGAUUGACAUUUUGCUCAAGGGGAGUUCAUAGACCUAGAGACAUAACAUGUUCAAAGACCAACUCGUUUCAGAGGUUGUGACCUUUAGCUAUCUAUAAUUGAAUCCGAAUGCCCAUUGAUGCUGACACCAACUCCAAAUUUCUCAAGAGACGCACUCAAUUGUGUUAAUGGAAGGAAGGAGCCCUCCCUGCCUCACGCUCUCUCCAUCACUCUCCCUCAUGCAGAAGCAGAAGCAGCAGUAGCAGAGCCCUCUCCAUCGUCGCAGAAGCAGCAGCAGCAGAGCGCUCUCUCGCUCAAAUAUAGGGCUUCUAUUAUAUUCUCAACUAGGUAUAGGAAGCUCUAUUUUUUUUAGGGUUUAUUUUGAUGAUCUAUUUGUUGUGCUCUCUUUUGAUUUUUGAGCUUUUACUGUGAUAAUGAUUUCAUUGGUGCGUUUCUUAGGGUUCCGUAUGAGUUUUGCAUUUUGGGUUUUAUUGAGAUCCUUUAUUUCAUCACCAUUACGGUAAUGUGUGCUAGCUGCAGACUUUUUUUUUUUUAUCCAUUGCAAAUGAUCCCAUCCUAUUGAUCAACGCAUGAAAGGAAAAUGCAUUUUUAUGUACUUCGCUCCCAUUUCUCUUACAACUCCUCAUUCUUAUAUUAUUUUGAAAUACUCAUUAAACUUAACAUUGGUAUGCAUUAAGCGAAUAUUUGAUCCUUUCUAAGUGCACUGGUUGAUUUAUCUGGUAGGGACCUUCAAAAGCCUAUUAAUAAGAAAGAUUAGGAGAGCUCUAUAUGUUAUCAUUUCAAAGUUAUUGAUUCAUAUAAUGACUCUCGAGAUAUUAUCGGAAUUCUGUGAAACUUGAAACCAAACACCAAGCUAUAAGGAUGAAGAGUGGAGGAUGAACUGACUUAGCAUCCACUGAGUUGGUUUCACUUCCGUAGAUGGCACAAAUUUGCAUAGAACCAUAAUCAACUUUAUGUAGUAUUGAGAUAUCUGUCCCGUCGUUUCAAGGCCUUGUUUAUUCAGGGAGACAACACAAUGUACAGACAGGUAAGGAUGAUGAAAACUCUCUUAACGGCCAAAGCACUAAUUUUACCAAUGGAGUCCCUAUCUGAACUUUGAAUUGUGGGUUCCUUGGGUGGUAAUUUUCGUUUCUAUGAUGCAUCAUCAUGUAUCUUAGCUGCUUGUAAAUCUAAAUUCCUUUUAAUUGUGUUAAACUUUAAAUCUUUUUGAAUUUCUCCUUAAUUGUGAGUGAGUAUUAUGAGUAAACCGCUACUUUGUGUUGUUAUAUGGUUUAUGAAAUGGAUAUACGUUAAUGUGCAAUGAAUAUACUUUGUUUCCUCUAUGAAAUUGGGAUACCGGUCUAGACAUUUGAACCAGCUAUGAAGUCAUCAACUUCUACAAAAGCCGGAGGAUAUCCACGGCUCACUUGUCCUCGGUGUGACAUACCAUGUACCUUAUGUACAUCAAGCUCCCCAUCCAACCCUGGAAGAAUGUACUAUCGGUAUAUGAACUGCACUUUUUUUCAAUGGUGCUAUGAUUAUAUGAAAGGGAUGAACUACAAUGUCAACUUCAAGCAUUGUAAUGUACAACAAAGAAAUCAGUCACAAGUAUCACAAGAGCAUCUUAUGUUCAAGCCUGAACCGAUCAUUCAACAACAAACUGUUGAUGCCUUAUGGCAUCUGCAACAAUUUCUAUUUUUCUUGUGUGUAACGAAUGCGUUUGUUUUUGUUUUACUUUUAUUGAAAAGUGUUUGAUAUGACUAAGAGUUGGUCUUGCAACUCUUGAAACAA